rnacentral:rRNA from 1 species
AUACGGAGGGUGCAAGCGUUACUCGGAAUCACUGGGCGUAAAGCGCGCGCAGGCGGCUUGAUAAGUUGGAUGUGAAAGCCUACGGCUCAACCGUAGAACUGCAUCCAAAACUGUCAGGCUAGGGUGUGGGAGAGGAAGAUGGAAUUAGUUGUGUAGGGGUAAAAUCCGUAGAGAUAACUAGGAAUACCAUAAGCGAAGGCAAUCUUCUGGAACACUACUGACGCUGAGGCGCGAAGGCGUGGGGAGCAAACAGGAUUAGAUACCCCGGUAGUCC